UACGUAGGGUGCAAGCGUUAAUCGGAAUUACCGGGCGUAAAGCGUGCGCAGGCGGUGAUGUAAGACAGAUGUGAAAUCCCCGGGCUCAACCUGGGAACUGCAUUUGUGACUGCAUCGCUGGAGUACGGCAGAGGGGGAUGGAAUUCCGCGUGUAGCAGUGAAAUGCGUAGAUAUGCGGAGGAACACCGAUGGCGAAGGCAAUCCCCUGGGCCUGUACUGACGCUCAUGCACGAAAGCGUGGGGAGCAAACAGG
rnacentral:rRNA from 1 species